rnacentral:lncRNA from 1 species
UCAACCAGAAACAGAGACACACAUAAUAUAAUUGAAAUAUUCAAAACUUGUGUCGGAGCUAUAUGUUAGCCAUGUCAUUGUCAUUUUAAAUAAAAUUCGAACUGAACCUACUUUGGUAGUACUCCAGCACAUGUGAGAUGAGUUUUUAGGGUCAUGUAACACAUUAGACACAUAUAUCAGAACUCACAAACAUGUCCACUUUCAUCCGUACUAAAAAUCUACUCCCUCCGUCCCAUAAUAUAAGAACGUUUUUGACACUAGUGUAGUGUCAAAAACGUUCUUAUAUUAUGGGACGGAGGGAGUAAAACACAAACAGCUGCUAUGUCUGCCUCAUGUACAUGUUGUCCUAAAUAUAUUUACAAUACAAUUCUUUGCGUAUGCGCUAAUGCCGCCUAGAUUUAAACCCAUUUGGAUGAACAAAUUUCAGUCAUAACAUAAAAACGGCUACAGUUCAAACGAGAUGAAAUGCUCUGAAAAAUAGAGAGUUUUGCUAUCAAUGAGCUUGCUUCUACAACUAUGCGGGAAGAAUAAAUUUAGCUAAUUUUCUAGAGCAAGCAUGAAAAUUCUGUAAGCUCCAACAUUAUUAUCAGCAUGUGCAAAACCAAAUUCCUGGUUUCCUGCAACACAGGGCCAAAACUAAAUAUUUACACAAUAUAAAAUCUGAGCACCUACUAAACCAAUCACAGCUAGGAACUGAUCAAUCUAUGCUUCAGCACGUGGCUGAAUCCAAUCUAUUACAAAAAAAAAAAACAUUUUGUCAACUUCCCCACACCAUCAAACGGGCCCAAUCAACUCUAGAAAAUACCACACUUUAUUUGGCACAUUCACAAACAAGUAAAUAUGCCGCCUUGAAAAUGGAAACAAAAUCCUAUGCACCGAUAGCCAGCGUCCUAACUAUUCAUAGAAGAGACGGGUUACAGAAACGUAAUAGAUACAAUCUAGCCAAUUGAUGAAUUACCGGUGUACAGAUACUGGUUUACUACAAACACUUGCAAGAGGAAUCUAUUCGUUGCACGAUAUCAUGAAACUUAAUCUGCAUCCAUUAGACAGCACUGCCGAUCCAUCAGAUGGACAGCUAAUUCGACCAAAUCCAGCAUGCUGCUGUCAUAACAAACAACACAGCCCAUCACAUGACAUCAACUGGACAGACGGAGUGUGCGUGAGAGAGCGGCG